AUUGAACGCUGGCGGCAUGCCUUACACAUGCAAGUCGAACGGUAACAGGUCUUCGGAUGCUGACGAGUGGCGAACGGGUGAGUAAUACAUCGGAACGUGCCCGAUCGUGGGGGAUAACGAGGCGAAAGCUUUGCUAAUACCGCAUACGAUCUACGGAUGAAAGCGGGGGAUCUUCGGACCUCGCGCGGACGGAGCGGCCGAUGGCAGAUUAGGUAGUUAGUGGGAUAAAAGCUUACCAAGCCGACGAUCUGUAGCUGGUCUGAGAGGAUGAUCAGCCACACUGGGGCUGAGACACGGCCCAGACUCCUACGGGAGGCAGCAGUGGGGAAUUUUGGACAAUGGGCGAAAGCCUGAUCCAGCCAUGCCGCGUGCAGGAUGAAGGCCUUCGGGUUGUAAACUGCUUUUGUACGGAACGAAAAGCCUCUUUCUAAUAAAGAGGGGUCAUGACGGUACCGUAAGAAUAAGCACCGGCUAACUACGUG
rnacentral:rRNA from 1 species